CACCGCGGUUAUACGAGAGGCCCAAAUUAAUGCUCCACGGCGUAGAGCGUGAUUAAAAAAUAUAAAAACUAAAGCAGAACACCCUCUAUGCUGUUAUACGCCCCCAAGAGGUUGAAGCCCCAAAACGAAAGUAACUUUAACAAUUUUGAACUCACGACAGUCGAGAAA
rnacentral:rRNA from 2 species